UGUUGAGUUUGAAUUGUUUGAGAGUCAACUAUAUUUAGCAAGUAGGUCCAAGUCUCAGUUAGAAGAGUAUCUAGAUGAAAAAUUAGUCAGUUGGAAGAAAAAUGAUCAUUUGAAUGUUCUCGAGUAUUGGAAAGGCGAAUGCGAGAAGCGUCCUCAAUUGUCGAUGAUGGCUCGAGAUAUAUUAAGUAUUCCUAUUACUUCGGUGGCCUCUGAAUCGGCUUUCAGCAUUGCGGGACGUGUGCUUGACAAGUAUCGAAAUCGUCUUCUUCCGGAGAAUGCUGAAGCUCAAAUUUGUACUGGUUCUUGGUUAGACGGUAUUCCUUCUCUAGCAGACAUUGAAGAAGGAAAUUUAUUAGUACAUGAUUUCAGUAAUCUAGAGGUUUCUGAAUCGGAAGGCGAAAGUGAUUAAGGGGAAAUAUUAAGGUCUCUAUGGUGAUUUCGGAUUCUAACCCUUGCUAUGAAGACGCACAUAUGAGGCUUGCUGCAAUACUUUUAAUGUUG